rnacentral:rRNA from 1 species
UGCGUAGGCGGCCCCGUGUGUCAGAGGUGAAAUCCCACGGCUCAACCGUGGAAUUGCCUUUGAAACUGCGAGGCUUGAGUCCGAGAGGGGAAGGUGGAAUUCCUGGUGUAACGGUGAAAUGUGCAGAUAUCAGGAAGAACACCCGUGGCGAAGGCGGCCUUCUGGCUCGGAACUGACGCUGAGGCACGAAAGCUAGGGUAUCGAACG